UACGGGGGGAGCAAGCGUUGUUCGGAUUUACUGGGCGUAAAGCGUGCGCAGGCGGUUCGUUAAGUCAGAUGUGAAAGCCCCGGGCUCAACCUGGGAACUGCAUUUGAAACUGGCGGGCUUGAGUAUGGCAGAGGGGGGUGGAAUUCCGCGUGUAGCAGUGAAAUGCGUAGAGAUGCGGAGGAACACCGAUGGCGAAGGCAGCCCCCUGGGCUAGCACUGACGCUCAGGCACGAAAGCGUGGGGAGCAAACAGG
rnacentral:rRNA from 1 species